UCCGGGGUCGUCUAACGGUAAGACAGCGGUUUUUGGUGUCGCGUAUAGGGGUUCGAUUCCUCUCCCCGGAACCA
rnacentral:tRNA from 1 species